GAUCUAAUAACAAAAUUGAAGAGAAGUUUAAAAAAAAGUAAGGAAAAUAUCAAGUAGAAAAACACUCUUUCAGUAAGGGAUGCUUCUAAAAUUAAUUUUCACAUAAUGCGCAAGCACGCAUGAAUACACAUAUUUAUUGUCUGUGCCUAUCCUUGGUAUAUAUGUACGUAGAGAAACGUAGGCGUGAAGGUACUUUUUGAACACAACUGCUGACAUAACAGUGGGUAAGAAACCAACAACGUAGUGUUAUCAGCAGUGUCGAAGGCGGUGGUUUUAUAGCUGAUACGUGCCAUUUAUCGGUCUAUGCUACGUUUAGUUAAUUAAACGGCAGUGCAAACACAUACUGCCAGUGCCAAGUAAACAUACAUAUUACAAUCAAACGCGAAACAAUUACAGAAAAUCGGAAAAAAGAAUAAGAAAAGAAAGAGUAGCUCGUUGUGUUCGUUGCGUGUUGAAUGGCGUUAUGAAUAUCCAUAUGUGCUAGAAUUUCUCUUUAAUUUGCAAGAGGUGGCGCCACUGCAACAUAAUCGCGAUAACAGAUCGAAAUUAAUUUGAGAAUUUACGUGCCUCUCCAGUUCUCUAAUACAUCUUAUUGAUUUCGUAUCAUGCGCUUUGAGCAAAUAUAUUUGAUAAAAAAAAAAAUAAUCUUUAUAAGUGAUAUUAUUAUCAAAUAUUUUGUUAUUAUUAGUUGUCGCUAUUUUUUAUAAUAUAAAAAA